AAAUAUAUUUAAGAAUGAUAAUAGUGAUUUUUAAAUUAUGUCUUUACAUGUGUGUCUAUGUCUAGGUAUGUGUAUGCUGAUGCCCAUGGAGUCCAGAAGAGGGCACUGGAUCUCUUGAGCUGUGUUACAGUCAGUUGUGAGCUGCCCAUGUGGGUCCUAUCAGUUGAACACAGGACCUUUGGGAGAGCAUUGCUUGCUCUUAAAUGCUGAGUUGUCAGGUUUUGAAGGGAUCUCUGCAUCCAAGGGGCCUAGAGCUUUCUGCUCAGAUAUUCUUAAGAUCCGAGCACUUUGCAACAUUUUCUCUACUUUCUAGGAAGAAGUCAGACAUGAACACCAGAAUGGGCUGUUAUGAAUAUAUAUUGUGAUCUGAAUAUAGUAAUUACAGAGCCAAGAAAGCCACCAUUCUUAACUGACACAUUCAGUGUCCACUUGAAAUCUUUGGGGAUUUAAAAGUACUGUUGUAACUCUUAUGAAAUGUUAAUGUCUGAGCCAUGUGGCCCUUAUUUCAACAGUUACAGCUAGAAUUCUAGGGUAAGCAAAUGAGAAAAAGAGAGCCUCUAUAUAGAAUUCUUGUCAUAACCCUUUUGAAGUUUUGUCCUGGAGAACUGUACUUAAUAUCCUAACUCAGUGUGGUGGCGGUGACAACAAGACGAAGGACCAGAGACCACGUGGUUUGGUCAAGAUUUGAGGAGAUUGGUAAGGGCAUCUGAGUCCACUUCUGCCCCAUUUCCAUUUCCAGUUGUUCCAUUCAGGGGUCCACUGUGUGAUCCUUCUCGACGGCAGGUAUGGCUUCGUUAAGCUCUAGAGAACACUGGAAAUAAUAAGCUAUGGCCCAAACUGUGUUGAAGCUGACAGAAUUAGUCUGACUAAGGCAGCUGUGCUGCUGACAAAAAAUCAGCUGUUGGUCACUAUGACAAAUAUUUCAGAAAACCAGCUUAUGAAGUGGGUCACAGUUCUGUGAUGUCCUAGUCUACCCUUGUCUUCUCCUCUCCUAACUAGAAAGCAAGUGAAAAUGAGGCAAGAGCUGAGGUUCUACUAUCUCUUUCAAAGGUACCCCCCCCCCCCACACACACACAAUGACCUACAGACCUCCCUCUAGAUGCCAUCUCUAGAAGCUUCUGGCACUUCCCCAUAGUGUCAGGCUGAGAACCAUGCCUUUAACACAUGGGCUUUAGAGGGAUAGUCAAGACCCAACCGUAGCAGCGCAGUGUGAAUGACUAUCAAGAUCUCGUGAUAGGCAGAGUGGCCACAACGAUGAGUCUUACAGUUGAGGAAGGACUGAAAUUAAGUCUGCAUACUGCCUGAGUGUGAGGGAGGCUCACACUCACACUUAUAGCCAAGUAUCGGGGUGCUGGUGAAUACAGACUUACUAACAGGUCUCAUGGAGGAAAAGGGGGCUUCUGGCUGAUCUUCACUAAGUGGGAUUCCUCCUGAAGAAAGUCCCAGGUCACAUGAGGGACAGUGGAGGCAGAGGAACCUAAUCAGAUAUAGAGAUUUCUGGCUGAACUAGCUUAGCAGGGUUCGUAAACUAGAUUUUACAAGGAAAUGCACAAGUAGAUCACAAGAUUCAGAAACCUGUGGAAGUUUGAUCAAACAAAGCAUCUUUGCCAGUUGUCACAAACUAUAUAUAUAUAUAUAUAUAUAUAUAUAUAUAUAUAUAUAUAUAUAUAUUUGUAGUUGCCAUAUUGCUAGCUACAAUAAGCGUACAUCUUGACACGGACUACAUUUUACUUACUUUAUAUUUCCAGUUUUGCAAAUUUCACUGAAGCUAUGAAUCCAUUUAGUUUAUUUGCCUGCAGUCCUUAUCAGAUAUUAACAUGUUUUCUUUGUUCUUUCUGCUUUGAGGCUCUGGAUUACAGUUGUAUAGGUGCUUUUAAAUGCACGUAGUAAACUGAUCAGUACUGACAACUUGGACAGAUCUGCCCUAGGUAUUUUCACUGUGAAUUCAUAGCUUCUGACCAGAAGUAGAACUCUGCUAGUGGGCAAAGCGUUGAGGUCAUAGCCACCCAUCCAGCCUAAAACAGCCCAUACAGCCCCUCUGCAUGCCAAGCUCCCUUUUCUGCUCCGGCUGCCUUAAUCAUGCCUUUGUCCCUAAAAAGAACCUAGGUUCAAACCAUGGGACGUCAUUCCUCAGCAAAGAUCCUUGGACUCCAAAGCACUGUGACUAACGAGCAAGGGAUUUCAUCACAGAUGAUUGAAGGGCCAUUUCAGAGACCACAGAGGGCAUGCUCAUACACACGGACUUGUGUGCAUUUUCCUCUGGAAACCCAUGUUCCUUACCUGCAAAGAUAGUGCAGCAGUUUGAGCAGGGGUUGAAGGGAGAGGUUGGCAUUCAUGCUAGAAUCUCUGCAGGCUCUUUAUCAGUCCCAUUAAAGUGUGCCACACUGGGCCUGGAAAAAUCUAGGUUUUAUGACCUAUUGUACUGUAUUGUGGGGCCACUCAGCUACUGGAGUGAUCGAUCUAUCUACCUGAGUCAUGGGGGAGAUGGGGAGAAAUGUCUUUAAGCACUAUGUUUACAAUACAUGGAUUAGGGAAAGGAUAUUCUCAAACUGUGUUUACCAUAAACUUGUCUACCUGAUGCAUUCACAAUGGCUCUGAGUUUAGGAUCUUAGAAUUGGUAUGAAAGCAUAGUUUGGCCUCAGGAACCAACUUUCAAGCUACCACCAGUGACACAGAAACCCUUGGGAAUGGAAACACAGAAACUUCUCUCCUCUGAUUGAUCAGAGCGACCUUGCACGGCACUAUUCCAGUAACCGCCCAUGUGCUCGCUAUAUACCCGGGCACUGAAUAGCUCCCAAGGGUGAGUUCUAGGCCAGAAUGGUCUUCAUCGCAAGUUCCAGGCCAAACAGAGCUACACAGGAAGAUCCUGUUGCAAAAACAGGCAGGCAGGCAGGCAGGCAGGCAGGCAGGCAGGCAGACAAACCUCAGCAACCUGAGUUUCCACAGUGAAGGUUUAUUGAUCUUUAUGCCUCAGGAUCUUGCACAUUACAUCUUAAUUGUGGGCCUUGGUUAAUAGUAAGUAUUUUGGGUGGACUAGGCACCUCUUAUUGAAUGACUGUCGUUUCAGCUCCAUCAAGUUUCCUUUGAGUAUCCCUGGGGAUCUCACAGUUUUUCUUUGCAUGUUUGAAGACAGGCACUGUUUUCAUAAAGAUAACAGGGGUAGACUUAUGUUUUAUCACUGUGCCCUCUUGUGGUGUGCCUUAAUCAUGCCUUUGUCCCUAAAAAGAACCCAGGUUCAAACCAUGUGAAGUCAUUCCUCAGCAAAGAUUCUUGGAUUCCACCUCAGCCUCUGCUAAAUGAUUUCUCAGUCCUGGCACCCUAGAGCUGGUCAGUCUUGGAGUUUAUGCAAAGCCUCAUUCAGUGUUGACACCCUCCACACCUACCUCCUUACCCUUUGGAGAGAAGAUGGCCAGGAACAGGAGUAUGCUGAAUUUGUGUGCUUCAGUCUGUGUGACCAGGCCCUAUGUUCAAAAGCAAACAUAAGACAGCAGGGAGUGAUAACUUGCUCCAUUUCUGGAUAACAGUGACCUUGUACCCUCAGAGGGAUAAGAUGUGUACUUCAUGAAAUGUUUGGACCAACAAAAUAUUAAUACUGGUUUUCCUGGGGCAACUGAGCAUUUGCUGUGAGUGUCAAGGAAUUACUUAUGGGCUGUGACUUCAGGAGAACUAAAUCCAAGGGUAAGUUUGGAUGAAUCCUCCAGCUUCACUGGCUUCUCAUUCCUUGCUUCUAAAACUUGUUUUAGAAGUUGCUUCCAGGGCUGGUGAGCUGGCUCAAUGGGUAAAAGCACCGACUGCUCUUCCAAAGGUCCUGAGUUCAAAUCCCAGCAACCACAUGGUGGCUCACAACCAUCUGUAACAAGAUCUGAUGCCCUUUUCUGGAGUGUGUGAAGACAGCUACAGUG
rnacentral:lncRNA from 1 species